UACGAAGGGGGCUAGCGUUGUUCGGAUUAACUGGGCGUAAAGGGCGCGUAGGCGGAUUUUUAAGUCAGGGGUGAAAUCCCAAGGCUCAACCUUGGAACUGCCUUUGAUACUGGAGAUCUUGAGUCCGGGAGAGGUGAGUGGAACUGCGAGUGUAGAGGUGAAAUUCGUAGAUAUUCGCAAGAACACCAGUGGCGAAGGCGGCUCACUGGCCCGGUACUGACGCUGAGGCGCGAAAGCGUGGGGAGCAAACAGG
rnacentral:rRNA from 1 species